rnacentral:rRNA from 1 species
AACGCUAGCUACAGGCUUAACACAUGCAAGUCGAGGGGCAGCAUGAACUUAGCUUGCUAAGUUUGAUGGCGACCGGCGCACGGGUGAGUAACACGUAUCCAACCUGCCGAUGACUCGGGGAUAGCCUUUCGAAAGAAAGAUUAAUACCCGAUGGCAUAGUUCUUCCGCAUGGUAGAACUAUUAAAGAAUUUCGGUCAUCGAUGGGGAUGCGUUCCAUUAGGUUGUUGGCGGGGUAACGGCCCACCAAGCCUUCGAUGGAUAGGGGUUCUGAGAGGAAGGUCCCCCACAUUGGAACUGAGACACGGUCCAAACUCCUACGGGAGGCAGCAGUGAGGAAUAUUGGUCAAUGGACGAGAGUCUGAACCAGCCAAGUAGCGUGAAGGAUGACUGCCCUAUGGGUUGUAAACUUCUUUUAUACGGGAAUAAAGUGAGGCACGUGUGCCUUUUUGUAUGUACCGUAUGAAUAAGGAUCGGCUAACUCCGUGCCAGCGGCCGCGGUAAUACGGAGGAUCCGAGCGUUAUCCGGAUUUAUUGGGUUUAAAGGGAGCGUAGGCGGACGCUUAAGUCAGUUGUGAAAGUUUGCGGCUCAACCGUAAAAUUGCAGUUGAUACUGGGUGUCUUGAGUACAGUAGAGGCAGGCGGAAUUCGUGGUGUAGCGGUGAAAUGCUUAGAUAUCACGAAGAACUCCGAUUG